rnacentral:rRNA from 1 species
AGAGUUUGAUCCUGGCUCAGAUUGAACGCUGGCGGCAUGCUUUACACAUGCAAGUCGAACGGCAGCACGGGCUUCGGCCUGGUGGCGAGUGGCGAACGGGUGAGUAAUGCGUCGGAACGCGCCGAGUAGUGGGGGAUAACGCAGCGAAAGCUGUGCUAAUAUCGCAUACGUACUGAGGUAGAAAGUGGGGGACCUUCGGGCCUCACGCUAUUCGAGCGGCCGACGUCUGAUUAGCUAGUUGGUGGGGUAAAGGCUCACCAAGGCGACGAUCAGUAGCGGGUCUGAGAGGAUGAUCCGCCACACUGGGACUGAGACACGGCCCAGACUCCUACGGGAGGCAGCAGUGGGGAAUUUUGGACAAUGGGCGCAAGCCUGAUCCAGUCAUGCCGCGUGUCUGAAGAAGGCCUUCGGGUUGUAAAGGACUUUUGUCCGGGAGCAAAGCCUACUUGUU